CAAUGCUGCAAACGUGGCUCGGGUCUGAAUGUCUAAUUAAGCUCAAUGGUUCACUGAUCCAAAAACAUAAUAACAUAAGAGAGAGCUAGCAACAUGUAUACUAUUUCAUUUUUUUUAGAGUUUUUCAGCCAAUGAGAGAGCUCUAUUUCAGAUCCACUCGCACAAAGUGCGCGUUGAGCGAGUGAGAGCGAUUCUGUGGGUGUACCCCUUUCCAAAUCAUGCCUUUUUCAAUCGACGCAUUCCUCUCCGAAAUACACAUCGCGUGACUUUUGUUUUUUUGCUUUCUUCUCUAAACCAAUGUAAACCGAACCAAUAUCGAUUUUAAUUCCAAAACCAC
rnacentral:sRNA from 1 species